CGGUUGACCCAGGAGAUUUUGCUGAGCGGGUUUGGCGUGUUGAAGACCACCAUGAAGCUGACGGGACGACCGGACCUUCAGGAGAACAACGACAACAAGACGGAUGGAUUGACAAGCAGCCAAAGAGCGAGCUGGCAAACUCGACGUGGGCCAAAACAAGACAAAAAGAGCUCUUGAUGUUUCCGCUGUGAUUUUGCCGCGUCUCGAACUUGAAGACAAACACCUCCACCAAAUGUUGGCCUACCUUUGGCUGCAAAAAGCUCUGCUGUGAGCAGCAGUGCACCGCGGCUGAGGUUGUUUUUCAGGAAAACCGUAAACCAUUAACAGGUUUUUCUUUUCAACUACCGACAUGUACAACGAUUUGUAAUUAAGGAUGGAAUUAUAAUAUUGUUUCUUUUAUAUACCAAUUAGGUGCAAAAACAAAACUCAAACCAAGGUUAAGCAUCUCAGAUUUGCGUAUUGUUUGUUUGCCAGGACAUUACGCCGUCAGGCAGUUUCCGAGUAAUAGCAUGUCCCUUGUUUCAAUUAUUUUGGUGCUUUGAUAAACAUCAAACCAAGUCCGCUUUGUACAGCGAAAAUACA